rnacentral:lncRNA from 1 species
AUGACUGUUAUUUGGAAUUGUAUGCAGAAAACACUGCAUAUUGUUGAUGGAAACGAACAAUUCAAGAUAAAUAAGGAUUUAUUAACAGAUCUCAAUCAAGAGAUUGACUCAAAUUUAGAGAUACUUAAAGACAGACUAAGAUGAAUCUGAGAGACACCUGGUUGGUGACAAUGCUGGGAAUACCCUAGCUGUGUGUGGAAUACACAUCAGAAAGCAUUCAUUUGUAAAGCGAGUCUGUUGUGAUGACGUGACUGUUGUACAUCAUUAUGUAUGAGUGGCAGACUUGCGUUUCUCGCCAACAGAGAAACUUGCUAAUCAGGGGAGGUCCUGUUUUCUGAGUGAAAUUACCUUUUUAUGAAGGGGACAAGUGGAUUUUGCCAUGAAGACAUGUCUUGUACAGUCCCUGUGACAGGAUCUGUUCUUUAAAGCCCAGGAGAAUGACUCAGAGUUUAUUUUAGUGCAACAUGUUCCUUUAAGCUCAACAUGUUUGGGCUUGUACUUCUGUAAUAAUGAGGAAAUUCCAUGGACCACUGAAGAAAAAAGCCAUACAUUUUAUUAAUGGAAGUAAGGAUAAAGACAAAUCCUAAAGAUUAAUAUUCAAGAAAUGUACACGUUAAGCAUUUGGAAACAGUUAUUCAUCUAUGCUAAAGUUAUUCAACUAUGCAACAACACAAAUGGAAGUUCGAGAAAAAAAAUCAAAACUGUCUUCAGUUGAUAAAAAUUGCCACUCUGUAUAAAUUACAUUUUUGUUGAUUAUCUCUACACACUUUAUGAGGUGCUUCUUCCAGUAUUAAAGGAGUUUCCACGUUGGCACUUAUUGGCUUCUUUCCUUUUUGAAUGUUUAUAUAAAUCAUUCUAAUAUUCUGAUUUAUUAUGAGUGUUGGAAACAGUUCUGCUGUCUAAUAUAUUUGAUGAAUAAAAGGUUAAAAAGAACUGCAUUUAUUAAAAAAUAAAAUAAAAUCUAAUAAUAUAUAUUCUAAUAAUAUAUUUUCUUUACUAUCACUUUUUAUCAAUUUAACACAUCCUUGCUGAAUAAAAGUAUUGAUUUUAUUUAAAAAAAAGAAAGAAAAUGACCCCAAAUUACUGACCAAUAGUGUAUAUUGUUAUUACAAAAUAUUUAUAUUUUAAAAACAUAGCUUUUUAUUUUUUACUUUUUAUUCAUCAAAGUAUACUAAAAAAGUAUCACAUGUUCUGAAAAAAUAUUAAGCAGCAGAACUGUUUCCAACUUUGAUAAUGAAUCAUCAUAUUAGAAUGAUUUGGGAUAAUGAUCCUAAAAAUUCAGCUUUGCAUCACAGAAAUAAAUGAUAAUCUAAAGUAUAAUAAAUUUAUUUAAUAAUAAUAUAUCACAAUAUUAAAUUUUUUUCUGUAUUUUUGAACAAAUAAAUGCAGGCUUGAUGAGCAGAAGAAACUUCUUUCAAAAAACAUUAAAAAAUAGUAAUGCUUCCAAACUUUUGGUCUGUAUAUACUUCAUACUUUUAUUUAGUAAGGAUGCAUUAAAUUGAUAAAAAGAAACAGACAUUUAUAACACCACAAAGUUUCUAUUCAUCAAAGAACCCUGAUGAAAUGAAUCACACAAAAAAUAUUAAGUACAACUAUUUUCAACAUUGUUAAUAAAUAUGUUUCUUGAGCAUGAGCAGGAAUGAGUUGCAUUUUAAAAUCUAUUAAAAUGCAAAGCAGUAAUUUUAUAUUGUCAUAUUAUUUCUGAGUGUUACUAUUUUUAUAUAAUUUUUGCAUUAAAAUGCAGCCUUGGUGUAACUUUUUUUAUGUUUUUUUAAAUCACUUAAAAUAUAUACUGACACCAAACUUUUUAAUGCUAGCAUAUAUUAAUAUAAAGGUAUUUAUUACAUAUUAAUAUAUAUUACCGUUUAGUCUAGUAUUUAAAAUUAUUUUUUAUGUAACCUUUCAGUCAAGUAUGUACAAAUUGGCAGUUUCUAUUCAUCAAAGAACCCUGAUGAAAUGAAUCACACAAAAAUAUUAAGUACAACUAUUUUCAACAUUGUUAAUAAAUAUGUUUCUUGAGCAUGAGCAGGAAUGAGUUGCAUUUUAAAAUCUAUUAAAAUGCAAAGCAGUAAUUUUAUAUUGUCAUAUUAUUUCUGAGUGUUACUAUUUUAUAUAAUUUUGCAUUAAAUGCAGCCUUGGUGAACUUUUUUAUGUUUUUUAAAUCACUUAAAAUAUAUACUGACACCAAACUUUUUAAUGCUAGCAUAUAUUAAUAUAAAGGUAUUUAUUACAUAUUAAUAUAUAUUACCGUUUAGUCUAGAUUUAAAUUAUUUU